rnacentral:snRNA from 1 species
GGAUGUGAGGGCGACCUGGCUGCGACAUCUGUCACCCCUUUGAUUGCCAAGGUUGAUUCGGCUGAUCCGGCUGGCUAGGCGGGUGUCCCCCUCCUCCCUCACUGAUCCAUGUGCGUCCCUCCCGAAGCUGCACGCUCUCGGUCGAAGAGGACGACCUUCACCCCACCCGCCUCGCCCCGCGAGGAGAGGACCGGUCUUCGGUCAAGGGUAUACGAGUAGCUGCGCUCCCCUACUAGAACCUCCAAACAAGCUCUCAAAAUUCUAACAUCAAAAUUAGCUUAUUAACUCUUCUAAUUCCAAUUAUAUAUUGCUUGCAAACUUCU